rnacentral:rRNA from 1 species
UUGACCUCAAAUCAGGUAGGACUACCCGCUGAACUUAAGCAUAUCAAUAAGCGGAGGAAAAGAAACUAACAAGGAUUCCCCUAGUAACUGCGAGUGAAGCGGGAAAAGCUCAAAUUUGAAAUCUGGCAGUCUAUUUUUUCUUCUUUGGCUGUCCGAGUUGUAAUCUAGAGAAGUGCUUACCUGCACUGGACC